CGAAAAGAAGAAACAUACUUUCGAACACAUACGUAUACAGGAUCUCAAAAAAAAAGUGUUGUGCGUUGACCACGACACCUCUCUCUUUUUCCCUCGUUCUGCGCGCAGUGUCUCUCCGUCUUUCCGGGCACCUCCGCUACUUUCCUGUACACCGCCCUCCCUCUCUCUUGUGUGCAACUGCGCAUUUUUGUCUCCCCACUUCACUGUUGCCCUCGCGUUUUCGCAGCUUCGAUAACGGAGCGACUCGGACGAACAAUCACACGACACCAGCAAGACCCCCACAGAGCGCAUGAUGAGUCUGUCGCCGAGUCGUGGUGGCCCGCAGGCCGCCGGGACCACUGCUGUGGAGACGGAGGUGCAGGAACUGCUUUCGCGGGAGCUGUCCUCGCGCAAUGCGGAUGGCGAUCCGGAUGCCACGGCCCUUCUCGUCGAGCACAUCCGCCGUGGCAACGGUGGCGCUGUCCUCGAGGGGAUCCGUCAGAACUUCAAGUACAACCCGCCCGCGACGCAGAUCUGCAUGGUGACUGUGAUGGAUCAGUGCCUCAUGCAUAGCGGUCCGCAGUUUGCUGUGAUGCUGUCGUCGGAGAAGUGGACGGAUCGUCUGUUCAAGGUCGCCAAGACGACCACUGCGAAUGAGGUGCGCGAGAAGAUUAUCUGCACUGUCAUCAAGUGGUACCAGCGCUACCACACGAGCGGCCACCAACGUCUGAUGCAGCGCUUUCAGCAGAGCCGCGUCCUCGGUGAGCCGUUUCAGCGUAUCUUCACCAGGAUGGUCAAGGACCAGCAGCAGCCGCGUUCUACUAAGGCUCCUCAACGCGACUUCACCACCCUCAACGCAGCCAACCGCAACGAAAUCCUCGACACGGAGGAGACGAUUCUGCUGGAGUGUCAGGGCGAUCUGGCCUCUCUCGAGUACGCACUGGAGCAUCCGCAGAUUCUCCCGGAUACCGAGAUUGCAAACGAAUGCAAGGAGCACAAGCUGGUGUGCAUGCGCAUGCUCGAGUCCGGACAGCACGAGCGCAUCGCAACUGAACUGAUGAGUCUUAUCGAACGUUUUUCCGAGGCUCUGAGCCUGUUCGAGGCGAUGACCGGCAUCGACGUCGGCGAGGGCGAUGCCGCCAAGCGGCGCGCCAUGGCCGACAAGGAUUUGGAGGAGACGGAUAGCGACGACGACGACGAGCAGCGGCUGCUGCGCCAGCGCCGCAGAGGUGUCAAGCGUGCUGAUGCGACCGCGGUGAUGAUGCAGGCACAACAGGAGACGGAGAACUUGGUUAACCGCGAGCGCACGGAGGCGCUGCAGCUGCGAGCGCAGCUGGAGGAGCUGCGCCAGAAGCACGAGGAACUGCAGAACAAGUACAAGGACGCCAAGGCGAAGAACAAGGAGGCCGUGGGCAUGCUGGAGCAGUACGCCCAGCGCGUGGAGAUGCUGGAGACGGGUGCCAACGGAGCCAACUCCCACCUAUCACCUCUGCCAGUGCUGGGUGCCACCUCGCUUGGCGCGCUGGGCUCUGCUGCCGGUAAAGGCUCCAUGUCACCGGCGCUCACCGCAAACAUGCGCAGCUUCUUGGCAGCUGUUCGCAAGUCCCUGCGCGAAAUCAAGGAGGUGUACUGCACUGACCUCUCUCAGCAGGGCCGAUACUAUUCAGCGCAGAUUUCGAACGCCAUGGCCGCCAUGAUCCAAGCGAGCGACAUGGACCGCGAGGCCGACCGCAAGGCACUGCAGUGGACGCAGGAGCUGUACAGGCGGGAGGUGAAGCUGCGCAAACAGUACUACAAUACCAUUCAGGAGCUGAAGGGCAACAUCCGCGUGUAUUGCCGUGUGCGGCCGAUGCUGCCUAAGGAGAUCGAGGGCGGCUACUCGGACGUCAUGUCGUACCCCACGCAGGACGAGGUGAGGUUCAUCGACGCGAGCGGGCGGCCGAAGCUCUUCGAGUUCGACGAGGUAUACCCGCCGACGGCGCCGCAAGCGCGCGUGUUUGAGGACACAGCCCCGCUUAUCGAUAGCGUCGUCGACGGUUUCAACGUCUGCAUCUUUGCCUACGGCCAAACAGGCAGCGGCAAGACCUUCACGAUGAACGGCACUGAGGGCGAGAACAAGGGCAUCAACACCCGUGCACUCGAAAGGCUCUUCGAGAUCAUCGAGGAGCGCAAGGAGACGGAGGCUUCUACCGUGACGGUGUCGGUGUUGGAGAUUUACUGCGAGCAGAUCCGCGACCUGCUGGCCACGAAGAAGGAGGCGGCCGGGCUGACGUACGAGGUGAAGCAGGGCGGGCCGUACGGCACGUAUGUGACGAACCUCAAGGAGGUGCCGGUGACGUCUGCGGGGGACAUUGACGGCAUCAUGGCGACCGCGCAGACGCACCGCAGCGAGGGCAUGACAAACAUGAACGAACACUCGUCGCGGUCACACAUGCUUCUGUAUAUCAUCGUGCGGACCACGAACAAGCAGACGAACAUGCAGGGCUACGGCAAGCUAUCGCUGAUCGACUUGGCCGGUAGUGAGCGCGUGGACAAGAGCGGCGCGGAAGGCCAGCGACUCAAGGAGGCCGUGGCGAUCAACAAGUCGCUGUCGGCACUUGGUGAUGUGAUUGCUGGACUCGCUCAGAACUCCAAGCACGUGCCCUUCCGCAACUCUGCCCUCACCUUCCUGCUCCAGGACUCCAUGGCCGGGCAGGCAAAGGUGCUCAUGUUUGUCUGCGUGAGCCCGGCUAGCUACAACGCCAGUGAGUCUAGCAGCUCGCUGCUCUUUGCCUCUCGUGCCCGCGGCGUCGCCUUUGGCCAGAUCAAGAAGAACGCCACGACAGAGAAGGCAUCGUAAGUGGUAGAGGGUCGUAGGGAGGGAAGCGAAAAAGAAUGAAUGAGAUAUUGACACACGCGAAAAGUGGCGUGAGAUCGAGGGCGAGGGACAUAGGAUCAGGAAAGGAUGCGCGUGAGCACACCGAGGGGCGAAACUUGGUGGCUGGCAUUCGAACUUGCUCAUGCUAUUGCUGUGCUGUGUAUGUCUUUUCGGUCCCUUCUCUCCCACUUCUUUCGAGUUUGUCUCCUCUGCUUCAACCAUUGCGCGGAGAGGGGCGUGCGUGGUGGCCUCUCUUCCCCUUGCUCUGGGGGUCUGUUGUGCGCACGUGUGCAGUAGUGUCGGAACGCGUUAAAUAUGAUGCUUAGAGAAACAGGAGAAGGGAAGAUCGCUGCGGAAGCGAAAAGGAAAGACAGAUGAGUAUAUACAACCCGCCACCUGCACCUCCACUUCCCUUCAAUACCUUCCCCGCCUUCCCCCUCCUUCCCCGUGCUCUCACACGCACACACGAAGGCACAGGCCGAUACCUUCCUCCUCCUCCUCUCGCUUCUCCCGUUUCUCCGCGGCUCAACUUGCGUGGCGGUUCCCCUCUUCCUGUGUGACUUUGUCAGAAGGUGAGGGGUGGGGGGGGGCGUAGCGCCAGUUUAUCUGUUCUUGCGUCAGCGGUUGCACGGCUCUCUUGCCCAACAGAUUGCUUUCCUUCCCCCUCCCGCCGCGCAUGUGUUGCAGUCUUGCUGCUCGCUCUCGUUCUUUGUAUCGUUGCUUGCCUUUCUUCUCUCUCGUGGCUUUUUUCUCGCAUUUCUGCUUGUUGUUUGCGGUCGAACGUUUUUCUAUUGUUUCACUCCCCACUGGCGGUUGUGUUUAGCUCUCUGUUCUCUCUCUUUGUGUAUGUGUGUCACGCCCGUGCGCUUGGUCUGUUGUCUUCAGUGCCGCACCUCUCCCUCUCACAAACUCGCACUCAUCUUUCCCGUCCUUUUUUUUCGGGCCUCUCAGUUCCCUCUUGCCUUUACUUCCCUUUUUGUUGUGCGUGCGUGUGUGCUUCUCGUAUGCAUUUCGGUACUGAUUCGACUUGCUGGUGUGCUUGCGUGUGGCUUGCGUUUUUUCUGAUCUGUUAUGCGACGUUUUUCGCUCUUCUUAUGAUGCUUGUGUGCUUGCUGUGUGUGUGUCUGUCGUUCUUCUUCGGUUUCGAAUCGAGUAUGGCAAGUGAAUUGGCUCUGUUCAAAAACGAAGAAAUCGACGAAAGAAGGAGAGGGGCGAAAAGGAUAUAUAUAUAUAUAUAUUUAUAACUAUAUAUACAUCAGUAGGCCGUGUUACUUAUCCGACGUCCACGCACACGUCCGUCUCACAUGGGUGUUUGAGUAGCACGCAGCAACAGGCAUACAAAUCGCCGAUGUGUAAGCGAUCUAGUCGCCUCCGCUUUCUGUUGCUUUUUCUUUUUCGCUCUCCGGUGCACAAGACAAGUUAGAGGCUAGAAUGCGUGUGCGUCUGCCUUUGUCGCCUGCGGGAAAAGCUAUAGGUGACGUAG
rnacentral:misc_RNA from 1 species